rnacentral:rRNA from 1 species
GAUGAACGCUAGCUACAGGCUUAACACAUGCAAGUCGAGGGGAAACGACAUCGAAAGCUUGCUUUUGAUGGGCGUCGACCGGCGCACGGGUGAGUAACGCGUAUCCAACCUGCCCAUCACUUGGGGAUAACCUUGCGAAAGUAAGACUAAUACCCAAUGAUAUCUCUAGAAGACAUCUGAAAGAGAUUAAAGAUUUAUCGGUGAUGGAUGGGGAUGCGUCUGAUUAGCUUGUUGGCGGGGUAACGGCCCACCAAGGCAACGAUCAGUAGGGGUUCUGAGAGGAAGGUCCCCCACAUUGGAACUGAGACACGGUCCAAACUCCUACGGGAGGCAGCAGUGAGGAAUAGUGGUCAAUGGGCGAGAGCCUGAACCAGCCAAGUAGCGUGCAGGAAGACGGCCCUAUGGGUUGUAAACUGCUUUUAUAGGGGAAUAAAGUGAGAGUCGUGACUCUUUUUGUAUGUACCUUAUGAAUAAGGACCGGCUAAUUCCGUG